AUUGAACGCUGGCGGCAUGCCUUACACAUGCAAGUCGAACGGCAGCGCGGGGCAACCUGGCGGCGAGUGGCGAACGGGUGAGUAAUAUAUCGGAACGUGCCCUGGAGUGGGGAUAACGUAGCGAAAGUUACGCUAAUACCGCAUACGAUCCAAGGAUGAAAGCAGGGGACCUUCGGGCCUUGUGCUCCUGGAGCGGCCGAUAUCUGAUUAGCUAGUUGGUGGGUAAAAGCCUACCAAGGCGACGAUCAGUAGCUGGUCUGAGAGGACGACCAGCCACACUGGAACUGAGACACGGUCCAGACUCCUACGGGAGGUAGCGGUGGGGAAUUUUGGACAAUGGGGGCAACCCUGAUCCAGCAAUGCCGCGUGUGUGAAGAAGGCCUUCGGGUUG
rnacentral:rRNA from 1 species